UACAGAGGUCUCAAGCGUUGUUCGGAUUCAUUGGGCGUAAAGGGUGCGUAGGUGGGUUUGUAAGUCAGUGGUGAAAUCUCCGAGCUUAACUCGGAAACUGCCAUUGAUACUAUAGAUCUUGAAUUAUCUGGAGGUAAGCGGAAUAUGUCAUGUAGCGGUGAAAUGCUUAGAUAUGACAUAGAACACCAAUUGCGAAGGCAGCUUACUACGGAUAUAUUGACACUGAGGCACGAAAGCGUGGGGAUCAAACAGG
rnacentral:rRNA from 1 species